UACGUAGGGGGCGAGCGUUGUCCGGAUUUAUUGGGCGUAAAGAGCUCGUAGGCGGCUCAGUUAGUCGGGUGUGAAACCCCCGGGCUCAACCCGGGGACGCCACCCGAUACUGCUGUGGCUAGAGUCCGGUAGGGGAGCGUGGAAUUCCUGGUGUAGCGGUGAAAUGCGCAGAUAUCAGGAGGAACACCAGCGGCGAAGGCGGCGCUCUGGGCCGGAACUGACGCUGAGGAGCGAAAGCGUGGGGAGCGAACAGG
rnacentral:rRNA from 1 species